rnacentral:rRNA from 1 species
GACGAACGCUGGCGGCGUGCUUAACACAUGCAAGUCGAACGGAAAGGCCCUGCUUUUGUGGAGUGCUCGAGUGGCGAACGGGUGAGUAACACGUGAGUAACCUGCCCUUGACUUUGGGAUAACUUCAGGAAACUGGGGCUAAUACCGGAUAGGAGCUCCUGCUGCAUGGUGGGGGUUGGAAAGUUUCGGCGGUUGGGGAUGGGCUCGCGGCUUAUCAGCUUGUUGGUGGGGUAGUGGCUUACCAAGGCUUUGACGGGUAGCCGGCCUGAGAGGGUGACCGGCCACAUUGGGACUGAGAUACGGCCCAGACUCCUACGGGAGGCAGCAGUGGGGAAUAUUGCACAAUGGGCGGAAGCCUGAUGCAGCAACGCCGCGUGCGGGAUGACGGCCUUCGGGUUGUAAACCGCUUUCGCCUGUGACGAAGCGUGAGUGACGGUAAUGGGUAAAGAAGCACCGGCUAACUACGUG